rnacentral:rRNA from 1 species
UCCUGUCUGAACAUGGGGGGACCACCCUCCAAGCCUAAAUACUCGUAUGUGACCGAUAGCGAACCAGUACCGUGAGGGAAAGGUGAAAAGAACCCCGGGAGGGGAGUGAAAUAGAUCCUGAAACCGUAUGCGUACAAGCAGUCGGAGCGGACUUGUUCCGUGACGGCGUACCUUUUGUAUAAUGGGUCAGCGACUUAUGUUCAGUGGCGAGGUUAACCGUUUAGGGGAGCCGUAGGGAAACCGAGUCUGAAUAGGGCGAUUUAGUCGCUGGGCAUAGACCCGAAACCGGGCGAUCUAUCCAUGAGCAGGUUGAAGGUUGAGUAA